rnacentral:rRNA from 1 species
CCCUUAGAUGUUCUGGGCCGCACGCGCGCUACACUGGCUGGCUCAACAAGCAUCUCACCUGCGCUGGCGUGCGGGUUGGUGUGUGUGUGGAGUUUACUCCCUGCUGCAUCAGCUCAGCGCUGCUUAGCUCUGCUAAGUCGAGAGGCGUGGGCAAUCUUGAAAGGCCAGCCGUGUCUGGGAUAGGCUCUUGCAAUUUUCAGCCUUGAACGAGGAAUUCCUAGUAAAUGUGGGUCAUCAACCCGCAUUGAUUACGUCCCUGCCCUUUGUACACACCGCCCGUCGCACCUACCGAUUGAAUGGUCCGGUGAAAUCUCUGGACAGGCUUUUGUGCCUCUGCUUGAGGUAACUUGAGUGAGUGCACAAGCAGGCAGUGGUUGGUGUUUGCCAGCUGCAGCUCUGUUUGCCUGGAAGUUGAUUAAAUCUUACCAUUUAGAGGAAGGUGAAGUCGUAACA